rnacentral:rRNA from 1 species
AUUGAACGCUGGCGGCAUGCUUUACACAUGCAAGUCGAACGGCAGCGCGGGCUUCGGCCUGGCGGCGAGUGGCGAACGGGUGAGUAAUGCAUCGGAACGUGCCCAGUAGUGGGGGAUAGCCCGGCGAAAGCCGGAUUAAUACCGCAUACGACCUGAGGGUGAAAGCGGGGGACCGAAAGGCCUCGCGCUAUUGGAGUGGCCGAUGUCGGAUUAGCUAGUUGGUGGGGUAAAGGCUUACCAAGGCGACGAUCCGUAGCUGGUCUGAGAGGACGACCAGCCACACUGGGACUGAGACACGGCCCAGACUCCUACGGGAGGCAGCAGUGGGGAAUUUUGGACAAUGGGGGCAACCCUGAUCCAGCCAUGCCGCGUGCGGGAAGAAGGCCUUCGGGUUGUAAACCGCUUUUGUUCGGGAAGAAAUCCUCUGGGCUAAUACCCCGGGGGGAUGACGGUACCGGAAGAAUAAGCACCGACUAACUACGUG